CCUACGGGAGGCAGCAGUGGGGCAUAUUGCACAAUGGGGGAAACCCUGAUGCAGCGACGCCGCGUGGGUGAAGAAGCGCCUCGGCGCGUAAAGCCCUGUCAGCAGGGAAGAAAAUGACUGUACCUGAAGAAGAAGCCCCGGCUAACUACGUGCCAGCAGCCGCGGUAAUAAGUAGGGGGCAAGCGUUAUCCGGAUUUACUGGGUGUAAAGGGGGCGCAGACGGCGAUGCAAGCCAGUAGUGAAAGCCCGGGGCCCAACCCCGGGAGUGCUGUUGGAACUGCGUGGCUAGAGUACAGGAGGGGCAGGCGGAAUUCGUGGUGUAGCGGUGAAAUGCGUAGAUAUCACGAGGAACACCGGUGGCGAAGGCAGCCUGCUGGACUGCAACUGACGUUGAGGCCCGAAAGCGUGGGGAGCAAACAGGAUUAGAUACCCUUGUAGUC
rnacentral:rRNA from 1 species